rnacentral:rRNA from 1 species
UACGGGGGAUGCAAGCGUUAUCCGGAAUCAUUGGGCGUAAAGCGCCUGUAGGUUGUUUAAUAAGUCUGUUGUUAAAGACUAAGGCUCAACCUUAGAAAAGCAAUGGAAACUACUAGACUAGAGUAUGGCAGGGGUAGAGGGAAUUUCUAGUGUAGCGGUGAAAUGCGUAGAUAUUAGAAAGAACACCAGUGGCGAAAGCGCUCUACUGGACCAUUACUGACACUCAGAGGCGAAAGCUAGGGUAGCAAAAGGGAUUAGAUACCCCUGUAGUCCUAGCCGUAAACGAUGGAUACUAGAUGUUGUGUAUUAUUUACAGUAUCGUAGCUAACGCGUUAAGUAUCCCGCCUGGGGAGUACGCUCGCAAGGGUG